rnacentral:rRNA from 1 species
GGGCAUAGCACCUUUCAGAAGGUGACAACCACUUUGCGUAUGUUGGCAUAUGGUAUCCCUGCUGAUCUAGUUGAUGAUCACUUGGCCAUGGGUGAGAGCCAAGCCAUCAUGUGUGUCAAGCGCUUCACAGCCGGAAUUGUGGAAGUGUUUGGCCCGGAGUACUUGAGAACUCCCAAUGCUGAAGACGUCGCAAGGCUAUUGGAGAUGAAUAAGGCUCGCGGGUUCCCAGGUAUGCUUGGAUCAGUAGAUUGCAUGCAUUAGAGUUGGAAGAAUUGUUCAAAGGCAUGGCAUGGCCAAUUCCAUGGACAAAAAAAGGGUUCCACUAUAAUCCUUGAAGCGGUGGCCAAUACGUCUCCAACGUAUCUAUAA